rnacentral:rRNA from 1 species
UACAGAGGAGCCAAGCGUUGUCCGGAUUGACUGGGCGUAAAGCGCACGCAGGCGGCACCGCGCGUGGGGUGUGAAAUCUGGCCGCUUAACGGCCAGGCGCCAUCCCAUACGGCGGAGCUGGAGCGAUGCAGAGGUCGAUGGAAUUGCCGGUGUAGUGGUGAAAUGCGUAGAUAUCAGGAGGAACACCUGUGGUGUAGACGGCUUACUGGACCAUGACUGACGCUGAGGCACGAAAGCGUGGGGAGCAAACAGG